rnacentral:rRNA from 1 species
AAUUAUACCGUGAAACUGCGAAUGGCUCAUUAAAUCAGUUAUCGUUUAUUUGAUAGUACCUUACUACUUGGAUAACCGUGGUAAUUCUAGAGCUAAUACAUGCUGAAAACCCCAACUUCGGGAGGGGUGUAUUUAUUAGAUAAAAAACCAACGCCCUUCGGGGCUUCUUGGUGAUUCAUGAUAACUUAACGGAUCGCAUGGCCUUGCGCCGGCGACGGUUCAUUCAAAUUUCUGCCCUAUCAACUUUCGAUGGUAAGGUAUUGGCUUACCAUGGUUUCAACGGGUAACGGGGAAUUAGGGUUCGAUUCCGGAGAGGGAGCCUGAGAAACGGCUACCACAUCCAAGGAAGGCAGCAGGCGCGCAAAUUAUCCAAUCCCGACACGGGGAGAUAGUGACAAUAAAUACUGAUACAGGGCUCUUUUGGGUCUUGUAAUUGGAAUGAGUACAAUUUAAACCUCUUAACGAGGAACAAUUGGAGGGCAAGUCUGGUGCCAGCAGCCGCGGUAAUUCCAGCUCCAAUAGCGUAUAUUAAAGUUGUUGCAGUUAAAAAGCUCGUAGUUGAACCUUGGGUCUGGCUGGCAGGUCCGCCUCACCGCGUGUACUUGUCCGGCCGGGCCUUCCUUCUGGAGAACCUCAUGCCCUUCACUGGGCGUGUUGGGGACCAGGACUUUUACUUUGAAAAAAUUAGAGUGUUCAAAGCAGGCCUUUGCUCGAAUACGUUAGCAUGGAAUAAUAGAAUAGGACGUGCGGUCCUAUUUUGUUGGUUUCUAGGACCGCCGUAAUGAUUAAUAGGGACAGUCGGGGGCAUCAGUAUUCAAUUGUCAGAGGUGAAAUUCUUGGAUUUAUUGAAGACUAACUACUGCGAAAGCAUUUGCCAAGGAUGUUUUCAUUAAUCAGUGAACGAAAGUUAGGGGAUCGAAGACGAUCAGAUACCGUCGUAGUCUUAACCGUAAACUAUGCCGACUAGGGAUCGGGCGAUGUUCUUUUUCUGACUCGCUCGGCACCUUACGAGAAAUCAAAGUUUUU